GCGAGUCGGUCCCACCCCUUCCCAUCCCGAACAGGACCGUGAAACGACUCCACGCCGAUGAUAGUGCGGAUUGCCCGUGUGAAAGUAGGUA
rnacentral:rRNA from 1 species